rnacentral:rRNA from 1 species
AACCCCUGGCAGCAGGCCUAACACAUGCAAGUCGAACGCCCCGCAAGGGGAGUGGCAGACGGGUGAGUAACGCGUGGGAACCUACCUAUUGGUGCGGAAUAACUCGGGGAAACCCGUGCUAAUACCGCAUAAGCCCGAGAGGGGAAAGAUUUAUCGCCGAUAGAUGGGCCCGCGUCGGAUUAGCUUGUUGGUGAGGUAAUGGCUCACCAAGGCGACGAUCCGUAGCUGGUCUGAGAGGAUGAUCAGCCACACUGGGACUGAGACACGGCCCAGACUCCUACGGGAGGCAGCAGUGGGGAAUAUUGGACAAUGGGGGAAACCCUGAUCCAGCCAUGCCGCGUGAGUGACGAAGGCCUUAGGGUUGUAAAGCUCUUUUGGCGGGGACGAUAAUGACGGUACCCGCAGAAUAAGCCCCGGCUAACUUCGUGCCAGCAGCCGCGGUAAUACGAAGGGGGCUAGCGUUGUUCGGAAUCACUGGGCGUAAAGCGCACGUAGGCGGACUUGUUAGUCAGGGGGUGAAAAUCCCGGGGCUCAACCCCGGAACUGCCUCUGAAACUGCUAGUCUUUGAAUCCCAAAAAA